GUAUUUUAAUGUUUAAAGGCACAGAAGGCCAAUAAAAAGAAGACAUUCUUUUACAGGUAUUUUAUGAUGAGAAACAUAGAGCCUUGAAAGAACACAUAUGAAACAGCUGCGCAGUCAAAUUACUGCCGCAGCAGUCUCGGUCACCGAAGACUGGUUUGUCUUCGAGAGAUUGUUCUACUCAAGGGCCUACACAAGGUGCACUGGAGGAUUUUUAAAACGGAAUGGAUGUGCACAUGCUUUGACAAGCCAGCAACAACCCAUGCCAAGUUUUAUUCAAUAAUGAUCCUUCCGCAGGUUCACCUACGGAAA
rnacentral:misc_RNA from 1 species